rnacentral:rRNA from 1 species
AUGGCGGCUGUUGCUGCAAAGCCACACGUUUUGGUGGCCUGUGCGGUGCUGCUCCUCGCUGUGGGAUGCCAGGCCAGCCCUUUCUGGCCACUCGAGAUCGGCUACUACCACGACAAGUGCCCCCAGGCGGAGGCCGUCGUCAAGGGCGUCAUGGAGAAGGCCAUCUCCCAGAACCCCGGCAAUGGCGCCGCCAUGAUCCGCAUGCUCUUUCACGACUGUUUCGUCGAGGGUUGUGAUGCUUCCGUCCUCCUGGACCCGACCCCGUUCAGCCCGACGCCGGAGAAACUCAGCCCGCCGAACGACCCUACCCUGCGCGGCUUCGAGCUGAUUGACGCCAUCAAAGACGCCCUCGAGGCGGCCUGCCCGGGCGUCGUCUCCUGUGCAGACAUCGUCGCCUUCGCGGCCCGUGACGCGUCCUGCAUCCUCAGCAGGGGCAAGGUAAACUUCCAGAUGCCGUCCGGCCGCCGCGACGGCACCUUCUCAAACGCCUCGGAGCCGCUCAAGUUCCUGGUCCCGCCGACGUCCAACCUCAGCGACCUCGUCGCUAGCUUCGUCAUCAAGGGCCUCAACACAGAGGAUCUGGUUGUCCUCUCGGGCGCGCACACCAUCGGGCGUUCCCACUGCUCGUCCUUCGUUUCCGACCGCCUGAACACCCCAUCGGACAUCAAUGGUGGCCUCGCCGCGUUCCUGCGGGGGCAGUGCCCGGCCGACGCUACACCGGGCGGCAACGACCCUACGGUGAUGCAGGACGUGGUGACGCCCAACAAGCUGGACAGGCAGUACUACAAGAACGUGCUGUCACACACGGUGCUCUUCACCUCUGACGCAGCGCUCAUGACGUCGGCGGAGACGGCGAGAAUGGUGGUGGAGAACGCCAAAAUCCCCGGGUGGUGGGAGGACAAGUUCCAGAAGGCCAUGGUGAAGAUGGCCGGCAUCGAGGUCAAGACCGGCUACCAGGGCCAGAUCAGGAAGAACUGCGGCGCAAUCAACCACUACUAA